rnacentral:rRNA from 1 species
UACGGGGGGUGCAAGCGUUGUCCGGAUUUACUGGGCGUAAAGGGCGCGUAGGCGGCUUGAUCAGUCGGACUUUUAAGAGCGGGGCUCAACCCCGUGGUGGGUUCGGGACGGUCGAGCUGGGGCGCGGUCGAGGGGGAUGGAAUGCCGGGUGUAGUGGUGAAAUGCGUAGAUAUCAGGAGGAACACCGGUGGCGAAAGCGACUCACUGGCCCGAAUCUGACACUGAGGCACGAAGGCCAGGGGAGCAAACGGG